ensembl:lncRNA
GUUUUCUGCUCACCGAUUUGCUUUCCCUGUUUCUUUUCUCCCUAAUGAGCCUGCUCCCCCAGCUGCCUUGUCCCAUUGAUUUGUUACCAACUUCCUGUUUAUCCAAUGGCCUUCCAUGGGGUGAGCGUGCAGGAGGCAUCCUGCCUGCCCUCUCCCUGCCAUGAGUGCUGGGGCACAUGGGCAUGGCUCACCCAGGGGCUCACAGCCACGGGCAAGCAGCUCACUAUGUUUUCUUGCCAUUUCAACCUCAAAGCUGCCACUGCUGCAUUUCUCAGAAGAAAACCCAUCAUUUUGAAACCUAUCCAUGAUGAUGAUAAAGCCGUGUGUCUUCAGGACAUGACUAGGAGCAGCUCCUUUGCCUCUGCAGAGGGACGAAGAGGAAGGACAGCAGCCAGCCAAAUGCAGCAAAGGACCAGAAGCAUCAGGAAUACCACUGGUGACGUGGAAGUGAUCAGCAAUCAGAAGGAAAGCUG